UAUGGCGACCGGCGCACGGGUGAGUAACGCGUAUGCAACUUACCUAUCAGAGGGGAGUAGCCGGCGAAAGUCGGAUUAAUACCCAUAAACAGGGGUCCCGCAUGGGAAUAUUUGUUAAAGAUUCAUCGCUGAUAGAUAGGCAUGCGUUUCAUUAGGCAGUUGGCGGGGUAACGGCCCACCAAACCGACGAUGGAUAGGGGUUCUGAGAGGAAGGUCCCCCACAUUGGUACUGAGACACGGACCAA
rnacentral:rRNA from 1 species